UCUCCGUUGGUGAACCAGCGGAGGGAUCAUUACCGAGUGCAAACUCAUAACCCUUUGUGAACCUAUAUCUGUUGCUUCGGCGGCUCGCUCUCGGGCGAGCCCGCCGGUAAUAUCCGUAUCUCUGUUUGAACCCGACGAUACUUCUGAGUGUUCUUAGCGAACAGUUAAAACUUUUAACAACGGAUCUCUUGGCUCUA
rnacentral:misc_RNA from 1 species